rnacentral:other from 1 species
UGCCCCCUGCGGUGCUUGUCCAGGCUGUAAAUUCUUUGAACCAAUGUCAGUGCUUUGGUUGCGGCCUAUAGUAGCGCUGUUGUGCGAGUCCCAACGCGGAAUUGCCUGAAGCGCUCGGGAAGCGACCACCCUUGAACCCCAGGUUCAAGAUGCCAGCCUGACGGCAUUUGCGGGGGGCCC